UGCAUAUUUAAACCCAUCAAUGUCACCCUCAUGCAUGCUUGAUUUAAGGCUAGAUUUUAAGUUUCCUCGUGGCAUUAGGCUCAGAGGUGUCCAUUCAUGCCCUAUAGAUGUCCUUUCCCCCUGUAAUAAGUCCCACAAGCUCAAAGCAGCAAUAUUGAGUCGGUUAAAUUUUUUCCAUUGUGAUGUUUUGAAUUUUUUUGGUUCAAGUCUCAAGUUCAAUCAGUGUCCUUAUAGCAUUAGGUUGAGAAGGUGUCCAUUCAGCCCCUAUAGAUGUCCUCUCCCCCUGUAAUAAGUCCCACAAGCUCAAAGCAGCAAUAUUGAGUUGGUUAAAUUUUUCCCAUUGUGAUAUUUUUGAAUUUUUUUGGUCCAAGUCUCAAACUCAGUCAGCAUUAGGUUCAGAAGGUGUCCAAUCAGCCCUUAUAGAUGUCCACACCCUCUGUAUCUUGAGUCCUAGCAAUAUUAUGAGUGUUAAAUUCUCCCAUUGUGAUAUUUUGAAGUUUUUUGUGUUAGUUUCAAGUCUCACAUAAGUUCAGUUAGUGUCCUUAUAGCAUUAGGCUCAGAAGGUGUCCAGUCAGCCCUUAUAGAUGUCCUCUCCAGCUUCUACUUGAGUCCUAGCAAUAUUAUGAGUCAGUUAAAUUCUCCCAUUGUGAUAUUUUGAAGUUUUUUGUGUUAGUUUCAAGUCUCACAUAAGUUCAGUUAGUGUCCUUAUAGCAUUAGGCUCAGAAGGUGUCCAGUCAGCCCUUAUAGAUGUCCACACCCUCUGUAUCUUGAGUCCUACCAAUAUUAUGAGUCAGUUAAAUUCUCCCAUUGUGAUAUUUUGAAUUUUUUUGUGUUAGUUUCAAGUCUCACAUAAGUUGUUAGUUUCCUUAUAGCAUUAGGUUCAGAAGGUGUCCAGUCAGCCCUUAUAGAUGUCCUCUCCAGCUUCUACUUGAGUCCUAGCAAUAUUAUGAGUCCGUUAAAUUCUCCCAUUGUGAUAUUUUGAAGUUUUUUGUGUUAGUUUCAAGUCUCACAUAAGUUCAGUUAGUGUCCUUAUAGCAUUAGGCUCAGAAGGUGUCCAGUCAGCCCUUAUAGAUGUCCUCUCCCUCUGUAUCUUGAGUCCCACCAAUAUUAUGAGUCAGUUAAAUUCUCCCAUUGUGAUAUUUUGAAGUUUAUUGUCUCAGUUCCAAGUCUCACACAAGUAUUCUUUGAGGUCUCUGUUGCAAGUCUCAAUGAAGUCUAGUAAUAUUUUGAGGUCAUUUUAAGUCUCAGUCAAGUCCAGUAUUUUUUUAGGUCUCUUUCAAGUCACAGGUCCAGUACAAGUCCAGUGAGGUCUUUUAGUAGUUGUUUAUCAGGCAUGUCUUUGUAUGGGAAUCACAGUGGUGGAAUGACAACGGUUUUCCUAGUGUUACAUCUCUCUCUCUCUCUCUCUCUCUCUCUCUCUCUCUCUCUCUCUCUCUCUCUCUCUUUUUAACGGCCUCUUGCAGACUCCUUACGUUCUUAUGUUCUUAUGUUCUUUCCUCUGGUAGUUGUUUAUCAGGCAUGUCUUUGUAUAGGAGUCAGGGUAGAGGAAUGACUAAAGUUUUCCUUGUGUUAUCUCUCUCUCUAUCUCUCUAACAUAGCGCUCCCCAACCAGCCUCUUGCAGACUCCUUAUGUUCUUUCCUCUGGUAGUUGUUUAUCAGGCAUGUCUUUGUAUAGGAGUCAGGGUGGAGAAAUGAGAAGAGUUUUCCUUGUGUUAUCUCUCUCUCUCUCUCUCU